rnacentral:tRNA from 1 species
GCCGGGGUCGCCUAGCAUGGUAGGGCGGCGGCCUGCUAAUUGAUAAGCCGAGAGCCGCUGGGGUUAUCCCCCGCGCGGGUUCAAGUCCCGCCCCCGGCG